GACGAACGCUGGCGGCGUGCCUAAUACAUGCAAGUAGAACGCUGAAGGAGGAGCUUGCUCUUCUGGAUGAGUUGCGAACGGGUGAGUAACGCGUAGGUAACCUGCCUGGUAGCGGGGGAUAACUAUUGGAAACGAUAGCUAAUACCGCAUAAUAGUAGAUGUUGCAUGAUAUUUACUUAAAAGUUGCAAUUGCCCCACUACCAGAUGGCCCUGCGUUGUAUUAGCUAGUUGGUGGGGUAACGGCUCACCAAGGCGACGAUACAUAGCCGACCUGAGAGGGUGAUCGGCCACAAUGGGACUGGGACACGGCCCAGACUCCUUCGGGAGGCAGCAGUAGGGAAUCUUCGGCAAUGGACGAAAGUCUGACCGAGCAACGCCGCGGGAGUGAAGAAGGUUUUCGGAUCGUAAAGCUCUGUUGUAAGAGAAGAACGAGUGUGAGAGUGGAAAGUUCACACUGUGACGGUAUCUUACCAGAAAGGGACGGCUAACUACGUG
rnacentral:rRNA from 1 species